AUAUUCCUUCCUGAUGGAGCAAAAUUUUAUACCUUUGGUUUGGCAGCUAUCUGUUGGGCGAUUUGGAACUGUCGCAACCAGGCUACCUUUGAGCACAAAAUUCUUAAAAGUCCAUUUAAUGUGGUAUAUGCUGCUUGUGGCUUUUUGACAUACUGGGAAGGUUUGAUGGCUGGUGAGGAGCGGGAGUCCAUGGAGCGCGGAGCCAAGAUGCUCAGGUCAAAUGCUUCGACGAUGAUGAGGAUCUGUGCGGCUCCGUCAACGACGAACUGA
rnacentral:rRNA from 1 species